rnacentral:rRNA from 1 species
GAUGAACGCUGGCGGCGUGCUUAACACAUGCAAGUCGAACGGAAAGGCUCCUGCUUGCCGGGGUACUCGAGUGGCGAACGGGUGAGUAACACGGGGGUGAUCUGCCCUGCACUUCGGGAUAAGCCGGGGAAACUGGGUCUAAUACCGGAUAGGACGAUGGUUUGGAUGCCGUUGUGGAAAGUUUUUCGGUGUGGGCUGAGCUCGCGGCCUAUCAGCUUGUUGGUGGGGUAAUGGCCUACCAAGGCGUAGACGGGUAGCCGGCCUGAGAGGGUGUACGGCCACAUUGGGACUGAGAUACGGCCCAGACUCCUACGGGAGGCAGCAGUGGGGAAUAUUGCACAAUGGGCGCAAGCCUGAUGCAGCGACGCCGCGUGGGGGAUGACGGCCUUCGGGUUGUAAACUCCUUUCGCUAGGGACGAAGCGCAAGUGACGGUACCUGGAGAAGAAGCACCGGCUAACUACGUG